CUGCGAUUGGAAGAACGGAAGAAAGAAGGAGAUAAAAUCAUUCACGCUUAAGCCAUAAAUGAUCGUGUUGAAGUGGUUCAUUACUUCCGAUCGCGGAAACCGAAUACCGCGCAACUUAUCUGAGGGUUUUCGGAACUACUACUCGUCCAUUUCAAUUCUGAUCGUGAACGAGGCAGCAGUGUGAUUAGUUUAUUUCGCGUGCGUUUUAUAGGUUUAGCUAGUGCGGUUAAGUUAGAAGUGCGGUCUACGGACGCUUUUUCGUGCGUUAUUGUUACAAAAAGAAGCCGUUGUCGGCUUCUUUUUUGGGCUUUCUUUUCGCCCUUUACUAGCCGCUGCACCAGCGCGACGCUGCCACCCUCACGCUGCUGACCCACGACGGAAUUGGAAGUUGCUGCUCUGGUUAAACGUCGGCCCUUGAGAACAGCCGGCAAACGACGCCGUCGAUACCGUCCGAUCGACGCCAUCCCGUCCCAUUGAUCGACGCCAUCGCUUAUCAUCGAGUGACGCCAUCGCAGCUCAUCGAUCGACGCCAACGACGCCAAGCAGAACAGCAGUGGACGCAACAAGUCAUCGACGGUAGGGCUAUUAAUAGCACCGACGGGACUUCUUUAUCUACCGUGAGUAAAAAUAGCUCUAUGAGCCGGGCCCGAUAAAGACACACAAAAACCCUUCUUAAUAGAAAGCUUUCGCCGUCCAGCCGUCUGUUGGACGAGUUCUUUUGACCGCACUGUAGGAGUAACGUAGGGAAGCACACAGAAGCGAGGAAAUAAAAAUGUGAUAAUUGACUGUACACGCCACUAACCCGUUAGACUUAAGUAAAUCCCGCUUCAUGCAAUAAAUGUAAAUCGUUGUAAAUACUAUAUACUA